AACGAACGCUGGCGGCAUGCCUAACACAUGCAAGUCGAACGAGACCUCCGGGUCUAGUGGCGCCCGGGUGCGUAACGCGUGGGAACCUGCACUUAGGUUCGGCAUAACUCCCCGACAGGGGUGCUAAUACCGGAUAAUGUCUUAGGCCCAAAGAUUUAUCGCCUUGCGAUGGGCCCGCGUUGGAUUAGCUCGUUGGGAGGGUAAAAGCCUACUAAGGCGACGAUCCGUAGCCGGUAUGAGAGCAUGCUCAGCAACACUGCGACUGGGACACGUCCCAGACUCCUACGAGUGGCAGCAGGGGGGAAGAUGGGACGAUGGGCGAAAGCCGGAGCCAGCAAGGCCGCGAAAGUGAUUAAGGCCGUAGGGUUGUAAAGCUCUGUUACCCGGGAUGAUAAUGACAGUACCGGGAAGAUAAGCUCCGGCGAACUCCGU
rnacentral:rRNA from 1 species